AUUGAACGCUGGCGGCAGGCUUAACACAUGCAAGUCGAGCGGAGAUGAGGUGCUUGCUCCUGGAUUCAGCGGCGGACGGGUGAGUAAUGCCUAGGAAUCUGCCUGGUAGUGGGGGACGACGUUUCGAAAGGAACGCUAAUACCGCAUACGUCCUACGGGAGAAAGCAGGGGACCUUCGGGCCUUGCGCUAUCUGAUGAGCCUAGGUCGGAUUAGCUUGUUGGUGAGGUAAUGGCUCACCAAGGCGACGAUCCGUAACUGGUCUGAGAGGAUGAUCAGUCACACUGGAACUGAGACACGGUCCAGACUCCUACGGGAGGCAGCAGUGGGGAAUAUUGGACAAUGGGCGAAAGCCUGAUCCAGCCAUGCCGCGUGUGUGAAGAAGGUCUUCGGAUUGUAAAGCACUUUAAGUUGGGAGGAAGGGUUGUAGAUUAAUACUCUGCAAUUUUGACGUUACCGACAGAAUAAGCACCGGCUAACUCUGUGCCAGCCGCCGCCGUAAGAC
rnacentral:rRNA from 1 species